rnacentral:rRNA from 1 species
AACGGGUGAGUAACACGUGGGUGAUCUGCCCUGCACUUUGGGAUAAGCCUGGGAAACUGGGUCUAAUACCGAAUAGGACCACGCGCUUCAUGGUGUGUGGUGGAAAGCUUUUGCGGCGUGGGAUGGGCCCGCGGCCUAUCAGCUUGUUGGUGGGGUAAUGGCCUACCAAGGCGACGACGGGUAGCCGGCCUGAGAGGGUGACCGGCCACACUGGGACUGAAAUACGGCCCAGACUCCUACGGGAGGCAGCAGUGGGGAAUAUUGCACAAUGGGCGCAAGCCUGAUGCAGCGACGCCGCGUGAGGGAUGACGGCCUUCGGGUUGUAAACCUCUUUCAAUAGGGACGAAGCGCAAGUGACGGUACCUAUAGAAGAAGCACCGGCCAACUACGUGCCAGCAGCCGCGGUAAUACGUAGGGUGCGAGCGUUGUCCGGAAUUACUGGGCGUAAAGAGCUCGUAGGUGGUUUGUCGCGUUGUUCGUGAAAACUCACAGCUUAACUGUGGGCGUGCGGGCGAUACGGGCAGACUAGAGUACUGCAGGGGAGACUGGAAUUCCUGGUGUAGCGGUGGAAUGCGCAGAUAUCAGGAGGAACACCGGUGGCGAAGGCGGGUCUCUGGGCAGUAACUGACGCUGAGGAGCGAAAGCGUGGGGAGCGAACAGGAUUAGAUACCCUGGUAGUCCACGCCGUAAACGGUGGGUACUAGGUGUGGGUUCCUUCCUUGGGAUCCGUGCCGUAGCUAACGCAUUAAGUACCCCGCCUGGGGAGUACGGCCGCAAGGCUAAAACUCAAAGGAAUUGACGGGGGCCCGCACAAGCGGCGGAGCAUGUGGAUUAAUUCGAUGCAACGCG